rnacentral:pre_miRNA from 1 species
AGGGGGAGUGUAGGAUCCUGGGCUGUGUCCCCCGGCGCCCUGGGAUCCGGGGCCUGUGCUGCUGGAAUCGCGCUCCCGGGGCCACGGCUUCCG